GAUGAACGCUAGCUACAGGCUUAACACAUGCAAGUCGAGGGGAAACGGCAUCGAAAGCUUGCUUUUGAUGGGCGUCGACCGGCGCACGGGUGAGUAACGCGUAUCCAACCUGCCCAUCACUUGGGAAUAACCUUGCGAAAGUAAGACUAAUGCCCAAUGACAUCCCACGAAGGCAUCCGAAUGGGAUUAAAGAUUUAUCGGUGAUGGAUGGGGAUGCGUCUGAUUAGCUUGUUGGCGGGGUGACGGCCCACCAAGGCAACGAUCAGUAGGGGUUCUGAGAGGAAGGUCCCCCACAUUGGAACUGAGACACGGUCCAAACUCCUACGGGAGGCAGCAGUGAGGAAUAUUGGUCAAUGGGCGAGAGCCUGAACCAGCCAAGUAGCGUGCAGGAUGACGGCCCUAUGGGUAGUAAACUGCUUUUAUAAGGGAAUAAAGUGGGUCACGUGUGACUUUUUGCAUGUACCUUAUGAAUAAGGACCGGCUAAUUCCGUG
rnacentral:rRNA from 1 species